GAUGAAGAACGCAGCGAAAUGCGAUAAGUAAUGUGAAUUGCAGAAUUCAGUGAAUCAUCGAAUCUUUGAACGCACCUUGCGUCUUUUGGUAUUCCGAAAGGCAUGCCUGUUUGAGUGUCAUGAAAUCUCAAUCCUCCUAGGUUUUUGACCUGGUUGGACUUGGACAUGGGCGUCUGCCAGCAAUGGCUCGCCUUAAAUGACUUAGUGGAACAUCCCACAUCAGUGUUAGACGUAAUAAGUUUCGUCUCUCCUUGUGGUGACGACUGCUCAUAAUCUGCCAUCGCGCACUUUUGACUUUGACCUCAAAUCAGGUAGGGCUACCCGCUGAACUUAAGCAUAUCAAUAAGCGGAGGA
rnacentral:misc_RNA from 1 species